rnacentral:rRNA from 1 species
AAUAGAUACCCGGGUAGUCCAUGCCGUAAACGUUGGGAACUAGAUGUAGGGACUGUUCCACGGUUUCUGUGUCGUAGCUAACGCAUUAAGUUCCCCGCCUGGGGAGUACGGCCGCAAGGCUAAAACUCAAAGGAAUUGACGGGGGCCCGCACAAGCGGCGGAGCAUGCGGAUUAAUUCGAUGCAACGCGAAGAACCUUACCAAGGCUUGACAUAUAGAAGAACGGGCUGGAAACAGUCAACUCUUUGGACACUUCUAUACAGGUGGUGCAUGGUUGUCGUCAGCUCGUGUCGUGAGAUGUUCGGUUAAGUCCGGCAACGAGCGCAACCCUCGUCCUAUGUUGCCAGCGGGUUAUGCCGGGAACUCAUGGGAUACUGCCGUGGUCAACACGGAGGAAGGUGGGGAUGACGUCAAAUCAUCAUGCCCCUUAUGUCUUGGGCUUCACGCAUGCUACAAUGGCCGGUACAAAGGGCUGCAAUACCGCGAGGUGGAGCGAAUCCCAAAAGCCGGUCUCAGUUCGGAUUGGGGUCUGCAACUCGACCC